AUGUCUGAUGAAGAGAAAGCAUUGAUCAGAACAAUGAAAAGGUGCAACAUACCUACGAGGAAGAUAGUGGCAGUAUUGGCGUACAUAAGAGGAGGAAUGGACAAGUUACCAUACAACAAAAGGAAAGUGAGUAACUAUGGUACAACAAUAAACAGAGAAUUGGAAAACAGUGACGUCAUGGAAGUGCAGCAAUACUUCGAGAACAAACAAGCUGAGAGCCCUGGAUUUUGCUACUCAAUGGAAGUAUAUGCAAAAAACAAGGUCAGGAGCGUGUUUUGGACAGAUGCUAGAUCUAGAAUAAUGUACCAAGAGUAUGGGGACUGCAUCAGCUUUGACACAACAUUCCUAACAAACAAGUACAACUUGCCGUUUGCACCGUUCGUUGGUGUUUCUCCACACGGGAAGACGUACUUGUUUGCUUGUGCCCUUAUUAUCGAUGAGACUGCUAACACAUUCAAGUGGUUGUUCCGGCAGUUCUUAGCAGCAAUGGGAGGCAAGGCACCCAAAACAAUAAUAACUGACCAAGACAGAGGAAUGGAAAAGGCAAUAAAAGCUGUGUUUCCACAAGCAACACACAGAACAUGCUUGUUCCAUGUGAUGAAAAAAGCCGAAGAGAAAGGGUGCAGAGUGUUUCAACUGAAUCAAGGGUUAUAUGAGGACUUUCACGACAUAGUGAAUAACUCAUUGACAGAGAGAGAGAGAGUUUGA
rnacentral:rRNA from 1 species